GGUUGAUCCUGCCAGUAGUCAUAUGCUUGUCUCAAAGAUUAAGCCAUGCAUGUCUAAGUAUAAACAUCUUUAUACAGUGAAACUGCGUACAGCUCAUUAUAUCAGUUAUUAUUUAUUUGAUGGUACCUUACUACAUGGAUACCCGUAGUAAUUCUAGAGCUAAUACAUGCGUCAAGUCCCGACUUUUUGGAAGGGAUGUAUUUAUUAGAUAAAAAACCAAUGCAGGUUAAACUCUGCUCUCUUGGUGAUUCAUAGUAACUUUUCGGAUCGCACGACUUCACGUCGGCGACA
rnacentral:rRNA from 1 species